rnacentral:rRNA from 1 species
CGUAGGUGAACCUGAGGAAGGAUCGUUG